rnacentral:tRNA from 1 species
GGCAGUGCAGCGUAGUGGUCAGGGAACUGGGCUAGUAACCCAAAGGUUGCGGGUUUGAUUCCCAGCUGGAAUGCUGCCA